rnacentral:piRNA from 1 species
UGGCCUCCCAAGUUAAUGUGUAUGUUGC